rnacentral:rRNA from 1 species
CCUACGGGUGGCAGCAGUGAGGAAUAUUGGUCAAUGGGCGAGAGCCUGAACCAGCCAAGUCGCGUGAGGGACGACGGUCCUAUGGAUUGUCAACCUCUUUUGUCGGGGAACAAAGGCGCCCACGGGUGGGCGGAUGAGUGUACCCGAAGAAAACGCAUCGGCUAACUCCGUUCCAGCAGCCGCGGUAAUACGGAGGAUGCAAGCGUUAUCCGGAUUUAUUGGGUUGAAAGGGUGCGUAGGCGGACAGUCAAGUCAGCGGUAAAAAGGCGGGUCUCAACGCAGUACAGCCGUUGAAACUGGCAGGCUUGAGUGGGCGAGAAGUAUGCGGAAUGCGUGGUGUACCGGUGAAAUGCAU